rnacentral:misc_RNA from 1 species
ACUUCUAAUUCCUCCACUGGAUCGACCGGGAGGACUCCGUAGCAGACGACUGAAUCAGGGGAGAAGUAGAAAGCUUUAGGGCCUGUGAGUUUUCUUGUAGGGUGGCUGAGAAAUAAUAUAGCUGUGCAAAAAUGUCUUCGGAGAAAGUUGAGUAUAGAAGGAGCGUGAAAACCGCGCCCGUGGUUUCCUCUCGGACCACGGUGAUCCAGAGAACCCCCGCUGGAUCCGGGAAUGUUAUGAACCGGAGCUCCACCAGUCGGCUUAGUAUGGGACCGGCCUUCUCCACCGGGGUCCUCGCUGGACUGUCCCACAAGGGGAGUCAACGAUGUCAUCCAAACCAGGGACAGGGAAAAGAAGGAUAUGCAAGCCGGUGUCAACAGAGACAAUAUGGAGGCUCAACAGGCCAAGGAGGAAACCAGAAAACUCAAGAGCAGGAUGGGAGAUAUUGGACCACGUCUUGCCGAACUCGAGGCUGAGAACGCCAAACUGCGCAACCAGAUCAUCGCCCUGGAAAGCGAGAUGUCCGACAUGCAGAGAGAGCACGACCGUGAGAACGACAAGAACGCCGAGAGGAUCGCCGGCCUGGAGAACAGCCUGGAGGAGGUCAUUCGGGAACUCCAGGUCCUCCAGGACGCCAAGCUGUCCCUGGAGCUGGAGAUCAGCUGCUACAGGAAGCUGCUCGAGACCGAGGAGAACAGCUUGAAAAAUAUUGUAGAAAAUUCAAGCGGUGCCAGGAGCAAGGGAGCCAACCAGUUGGCCGACAUUGUGCAGAAAAGCAGUUAGUACUCCUAAUUCAAAACAAAAAAUUCGUGUUCCUGUGGCGUCAAUGUGCAUGCAUACAGAAAAUUGUAGCGAUAAUCACUUAGCUAUAUAAAUUGCUAUAUUUGGAGCUAAAAGGUCCUUGCCAUGUGUUUUAAGUUUCGUAUCGUGACAAAAAAUGACACUGCUGUCUGAAGAGAGAAUUCAAAGGAACAAUCAUUUUAAACUUAUCUUUUUUUAUAAAUCUAUGUAUAUUUUAGCCUUUAUGCGCUAGUUUGAGAGUAGAAAACAAUAGAUGUGAGAAUUGACUUUUUAUACAUUCCAAUUUAAUUUGGCACAUGUAGGCUAUGAAUUGUUUUAACUAUUGCUAAUAAAGCUUAUAUCAUAAUU